CCUACGGGGGGCAGCAGUGGGGGAUAUUGCACAAUGGGGGGAACCCUGAUGCAGCGACGCCGCGUGAGUGAAGGAGCGUUUCGGCGCGUAAAGCCCUAUCGGCAGGGAAGAAGAUGACGGUACCUGACCAAGAAGCCCCGGCUAACUACGUGCCAGCAGCCGCGGUAAGACGUAGGGGGCAAGCGUUAUCCGGAUUGACUGGGUGUAAGGGGGGCGCAGACGGCAAUGCAAGCCAGGAGUGAAAGCACGGGGCCCAACCGCGGGACUGCUCUUGGAACUGCAUGGCUAGAGUACAGUAGGGGCAGGCGGAAUUCCUAGGGUAGCGGUGAAAUGCGUAGAUAUUAGGAGGAACACCGGUGGCGAAGGCGGCCUGCUGGACUGUGACUGACGUUGAGGCCCGAAGGCGUGGGGAGCAAACAGGAUUAGAUACCCGGGUAGUC
rnacentral:rRNA from 1 species